UAUCUCUGUAGAGUCUGCAUAUCAAUAAGCGGAGGAAAAGAAACUAACUAGGAUUCCCUCAGUAACGGCGAGUGAAGCGGGAAGAGCUCAAAUUUGAAAUCUUCAAGGUUCUACCUUGACGAAUUGUAGUUUAAAGAAGUGUUUUCUGUUGGAGUUUUGGUAAAAGUUCUUUGGAAUAGGACAUCAUAGAGGGUGAGAAUCCCGUAUUUGACCAUUAUUUCCAGCUUUGUGAUACACUUUCAAAGAGUCGGAUUGUUAGGGAAUGCAGUCCAAAAUGGGUGGUAAAUUUCAUCUAAAGCUAAAUACUGGCGAGAGACCGAUAGCGAACAAGUACCGUGAGGGAAAGAUGAAAAGAACUUUAGAAAAGAGAGUUAAACAGUACGUGAAAUUGUCAAAAGGGAAGCGUUUGACACCAGUGUUGUUUUCUCGAAAAUCAAUUAAAAAAGGCAGGAUUUUGUGUUGUAUUGACUUUAUCAGCUUUCUGCACUCUUUUCUUGUCUUUUUUAAUGCACUUUUCGUUUAACAAGUCAACAUCAAUUUCUUUUGUUGUAAAAGGGUCAUUGGAAGGUGGCUUUCUUUUCGGAGAAAGUGUUUAUAGCCUUUGGCCUCUGCAAUCGGAGAGAUUGAGGUCUGCAGCGUAGAUCCUUCGGGGUUAGAUACAUUUGUGCUAAGUUAUAGCCUUUCAUAGACAACUUGUUGACUAUGAUCAGUCAUGUAGCUUACUCGCUUAUGCUAUUUUACCUACGCUUAGGAUGUUGACGAUCAGCUGAGCGCG
rnacentral:rRNA from 1 species